UUUUCUUGGUUUGCAUGAAUAUGAUUUUCAUCUCUGAGCAUAGGGACAGUCUGAUGCAUUGUCAUUGAAUACCUGUCAAAUGCUUAUUACUAGAUGGAGACAUAAUAAAUAGAUCAUCUGUCAUAGGGUGAUCAGUUAAUAGCGAGUAGAAAUUCUGUUAUUGCCUCAGUUUAUUUUGAAGGCUCUUGGAAUUGGUCAUAGAAAGAUAAAAAAUGAAGGUAUCUUAUGAAGAAAGGGAGAAAUUAAUAAGAGUGAAUUAAAAUAGGGUUGUCAAAAUUUGAACAGCAACUAGGCCAUUUCGACAACACGAAAAGAGCUGCUAAAUGGACAAAGUGAGACCAAAUAUAGUGCAGUGAAUUUCAGGGAUUAAGAAAGCAGCAAAGUGAUAACAAGCUGAAAGCUAAGCAACCUGUAACUGCUAAAUGGAUAAAGUGAGACCAAAUAUAGUGCAGUGAAUUUCAGGGAUUAAGAAAGGAGCAAAGUGAUAACAAGCUGAAAGCUAAGCAACCUGUAUGCUAUAGCUAAAUGAAGAUCAUAAACCAUAAACCCAGACUAGAACUGAAACAAAAUCCCUGUUUCUGACACUGUUCACACCAGAAACAAAGGAAAUUAAUACUGGUUUCUUCCCACCAUCUCGCACUUAGAGCAGGUAUGCUAGGAAUCAGGUGAAGC
rnacentral:lncRNA from 1 species